rnacentral:rRNA from 1 species
CACGUAGGGCGCAAGCGUUGUCCGGAAUUACUGGGCGUAAAGAGUGUGUAGGCGGUGCUCUAAGUUCGGUGUGAAAUCUCCCGGCUCAACUGGGAGGGUGCGCCGAAAACUGGAGUGCUGGAGCGCGGGAGAGGAAAGCGGAAUUCCUGGUGUACCGGUGAAAUGCGUAGAUAUCAGGAGGAACACCGGCGGUGUAGACGGCUUUCUGGACCGUAGCUGACGCUGAGACACGAAAGCGUGGGUAGCAAACAGG